rnacentral:rRNA from 1 species
AUGUCCGGAGCAGGAGGCAAGUGGAUGGUCUCCAACAUUGCGGAGGGAGACAUCAAAAAGCUACGCAGGGCCGGAUACUUAGCCGCGGAUAUUGCGCACCGGCUGCCAGCCACGGGGCAGAUCGUCCCUACCCCGGAACCUUACGAAAGGGUGGUUUUCCUCACACACUUCAUCCGCGGACUGGGGUUUCCCCUCCAUAAAUUCGUCCGCGGCCUUAUGUUCUAUUAUGGGCUAGACUUCCAUGAUCUAGCUUUGCAUUUCAUCCUCAACAUCUCGGUGUUCAUCAUCGUGUGCGAGGCUUUCCUUCGUGUCCCGCCCCACUUCGACCUGUGGCUGAAGACCUUCACUGUCAAACCGAAGGUAUUAAGCAGCCAACAAGCGGAAUGCAGCAGAGCCAUGGUGGGCAAAAUGCCCAAUGUUACAUGGCUCGAGGGCUCCUAUGUGGAGACCAUAAAGGGGUGGCAAUCGGGGGGUUCUACAUCACCGAGCCACGCAACACCAACUAGGUGGCAGCCCCCGAGUUUCAAUCCGAAAUCCCCACGCGGCUCACUUCCUGGAAGGAGAAGGGCCUGUCCUGGGGCUCGUCGGUGGAGCUGGACGAACUCCAGAAGUGUAUCCGGAACAUGA